GUGCCUUUCCAUGUGACAGAGGAAUCCAGGAUCACAGGCAGCCUGUCUCCAGCAAGAAGUUCUUUAGGUUGCCCUUCAUUGGCCUGGCGGCUUCCACUUCCAGCUCUCUUGGAACCAUCGCCUUUAAGGAACUCCCACUCUCAACCCAGCCUCCUUGCUCUGAGAAGCCCAAGCCUCCUGAGAAUCCAUGUGCAAGUCUCUGUCGCCAGCCUGGUUGAGCUCCCAUCCAACCAGCAGAGUCAACUGCCAGCCAUCUGUGAGCCAUAUGGACACCCAGUGCAGCUGAGCUUUCAGAUGACUCCUGUCCUGACCCACAUCUGACUGCAGCUACACGUGAGAAGACCAAGCAUGAACUGUCCAGCCGACCCCAAUCAACCCACCCAACUGUGAGAGGUAACAGUAAGCUGUUCUAAGCCGGGAAAUUUAAAGAUGUUUGUUACAUGGCAAUAGAUAUCCAGACCUGUGGUUCAGAAAAGUGUGAAAAAAAAAAAAAAAAAAUGCUGCCUUUGUAUAAAAAAAAAAAAAGUGGGGAAAUUUAUAUUUACAUUUAUAUUUGCAUGAAGCAGCUCUGGAAAUUUCGUACAAGGGGUGGGAACUGGUUGAUGGGCAAAUGAAGGGAGAAAGUCUUUUCACUGUAUAACUAUUUUUCUGUUUUUUGGUUUUUAAAAUGUGAAUAUAUUGCCUAUUCAAAAAAUUAAAUUUAAAAAAAAAUGGCUCCUGAUUUAGAGAAGACAGGGAGGUAAGAGGAGACCGUUUUGAGGGUUUUAGUUUUACAUGGUAGUUGAACUGACUAGACUAGAGGGCACCCAAGUAAAAACCCAACCAGCAAGAGUGGGAGGUGAGCUGGAGUUCAAGAGAAUGGACUGGACAGAUAGCUACGCCGGGGUCAAAAAAUAUGAUGUAAAAGGUGGCAUUAAACUAGAUUGCAGAGGGAGAGAGGAAGGGCAGGGAGAGUCUAGCCUGUUCUUAGCUUGGGCCCUUGGAGAAAACACAGCAAGAUGACUUUUCAUUCCCAGUUAUAAGGAAUUUGGAGUGAUGAAUUUCAUGGCUUUUCCUUGUUUGAUUUUUGUGGUUCCAAAGGAUUACAAGGUAUACCAAAGAAAGCAUCUAUUGUUAGGCUUUUCCUUGAGUUUUUCCACUCCCUCCAUACCUGCUAGUCUCUCCAUAAAUGUCAUGGUAAUGUCUCCUAACACUACAGCUAUUAGGACUUUGAAAAGUCCUGCUUGUUGUCUUUUCAACAACUCCCAUUUUUAUUUUUGCCCCCAUGUAAGGUAGUUUGCAUUGCUUUACCAGUUCUCCAAAAAAGAAAGUGUAAAUACAAUUUUUCUUCCUAUUCAAUCUGGCUAGCACUAUCUACUCAAGCACCAAGGUUGAGGAGGUGGGAGAUCAGAAGGCAGAUCCUUGCACAAGAAACCCAAAUCCUUCUAUACUUCUCUACAGAAAAUGCCAGACAUAAUCAGUUUGAGUACUCGAUAUUAACACCGUUUUUAUGCUUUCUUAUAGAAUGAAUAAGCAUUUGAAAGAAGUGAAGCAAAAUAGUAUAGCAUGUUUCAAACCUAAAAAAAAGUUGUCUUACUCAUUUAUUUUAGUUUUCAAGAAUCAUAAAUAGAAUUAUCUGCUCUCAGACUGUUCAUAAUAAACCUGUGUGAUACUGUGUUA